rnacentral:rRNA from 1 species
GGGCCCGCACAAGCGGUGGAGUAUGUGGCUUAAUUCGAUGCAACGCGAAGAACCUUACCUAGCCUUGACAUGCAAAGGACAAAUAUUGAAAAAUAUUUUCCUUCGGGACCUUUGCACAGGUGCUGCAUGGCUGUCGUCAGCUCGUGUCGUGAGAUGUUGCGUUAAGUCGCGCAACGAGCGCAACCCCUGUCUCUAGUUGCCAUCAUUUAGUUGGGCACUCUAGAGAGACAAACCCGUUUUCGGGUGGGAAGGUGGGGAUGACGUCAAGUCAGGAUGGCCCUUACGGCUAGGGCUGCACACGUACUACAAUGCACGGUACAGUAGGAUGCGACACUGCGAAGUGAAGCAAAUCCAUAAAACCGUGCUCAGUUCAGAUUGUAGUCUGCAACUCGACUACAUGAAGUUGGAAUCGCUAGUAAUGGCGCAUCAGCUACGGCGCCGUGAAUACGUUCCCGGGCCUU